rnacentral:rRNA from 1 species
AAUGAACGCUGGCGGUAUGCCUAACACAUGCAAGUCGAACGGCAGCACAGUGAGAGCUUGCUCUUACGGGUGGCGAGUGGCGGACGGGGGAGGUAUACAUCGGAAUCUACUUUUUCGUGGGGGAUAACGUAGGGAGACUUACGCUAAUACCGCAUACGACCUACUGGUGAAAGCAGGGGAUCUUCGGACCUUGCGCGAUUGUAUGGGCCGAUGUCGGAUUAGCUAGUUGGCGGGGUAAAGGCUCAACACGGCGACGAUCCGUAGCUGGUCUGAGGGGAUGAACAGCCAGACUGGAAGUGAGACACGGUCGUGACACAUACGCGAGGCAGAAGUCGGGAAUAUUGGAGAAUGCGGGCAAGAGUAAUCCAGCCAUAGCGCCUCGGCGAAGAAGGGAUACGGGUUGUAGAGCAAUUCAGUUCGGAAGGAACAGCAGCAGGUUUAAACGAGGCUAUACUGACGGUACCCAGAGAAUAAGCUCCGGCUAACUUCGUG